rnacentral:rRNA from 1 species
ACGGAGGGGGCUAGCGUUGUUCGGAAUUACUGGGCGUAAAGCGCACGUAGGCGGCCACUCAAGUCAGAGGUGAAAGCCCAGGGCUCAACCUUGGAACUGCCUUUGAAACUAGGUAGCUAGAAUUCUGGAGAGGUCAGUGGAAUUCCGAGUGUAGAGGUGAAAUUCGUAGAUAUUCGGAAGAACACCAGUGGCGAAGGCGACUGACUGGACAGAUAUUGACGCUGAGGUGCGAAAGCGUGGGGAGCAAACAGGA